CCCUUCUCAGAGAGCCAAGAUUUUAACCCAUUUACAUAGUGGACCUAAAUAAUAAAUCUUAAAACAAUUACUCAUCAGGGCCUGCCAUGUAGGCAUGAUUGUUUUCUUUCCUCUGUUCAAUUUCCGAUGGCCCACCAGGCAAAUCAACGUACACAUCUGCUUUACAAGAAUAUUAUACUUAAUCAUUUGCUGCUAUCAACAGUAUUGGAAUAGUGAAAAAAAAUGAUUCAUACAAAUACUAAAAGACCACAUACACAUGUUACCCUUUUGGAAUGACUUACAGGAAAUUAUAGAACGCAACUGCACAAGUUGUAGCCCCACAGGCUGGAGUUAUUCCUACAAUAAGAAAGAAAUGCAAUUAAUUCUUUGUCAACAAGCACAUCAUCAGAACAUACACCACAAAAUAUUAAGACAAUCAGUUAUCCUCUAUAAUAACUACUUCUACAUGACUUGAAAACUUUUUUUGAUGAUUACAAGACUUGAAAACUUAAUUUCAUAUUAAGGUACAAGAUAUCUUUCUAUUCUAGAUAAAUUUGAUAAUCAAAAAAAGGAUUUAAUUUAUUAGCAACUUUACUGGAAUGCAGGAAGCUGUGGAUGAGACAGCAGCUGUAGAAACAAAAUCAACUGCAAAAAAACCCUGAUUCUAAUGAAAAUGAGCAGGGAUAUGAUUCCAGCUAAUAAGCAUUUGGAUUCUGGGCAUAGAGAAAGACAUGCCUACAAACACACACUCAAACAUGCAUUUUCAGGUGUAAACAAGGGAAGAGUCAGUCAUGCUCUGCAUAAUGGAGAUGAUUAGGUCCAUAAGGAUAUAGUCCAUGACCAAAAUAAGGGCUGCCAAUAGGUCAGAAUUAUAAAGCCAACCUAGUUUUUAACUUGAAGUUCAAUGGAAGCAAACCAUAGUGGGUGCAAGGACAGGUGCUUAAACGAUGGAAAAUAAAAUUGAUGGCAUGCUUGUUUACAGUAUUCAGUUACACAUUCAUCAAAGAAUAGUUGUAUGAAAAUUGUCUAGUAUCCAGCUGUAUGAGCAAAUUGUAGCAGAUAUAUUUUAAAGAAAAAGGCUAUGUCUCUAUUAUAUCAUUCUUGUGGACAGAUUGUGUUAUAAUAUUUGUUCAUGAGGUCCAUACACAUCUUUUUUAACAUGAUGACUAGCUCAUAAGACAUUUAUUCUUUAUGAUAUGAUCCCUUUUUGUCCUUUAAAAACUAGAACAGGAGGAAGCCCAUGCCGAAAUUGGGGUGAAGGUGGGACAAUGCCAGUUGGGGAGAACCUAUGUUACUAGUAACCAACAUGCAGUGACUAUCAACUAAGUCAGUUGGCACCCUCGAGAUGACCAUAAAUUUCAAUGCGACUUUCCAUGCUGUUAGCAAGAAUGGUUAUUCUUUUGAACACAAUAUAGUAUGGUGAGGGUAUCUGCAAGAUAAUAAAAGAGGAUAUUUCUUAAACACCAAGCAUUUAGAAUCAAAUGAUGAAAUUUAUUGCCAUCUUGUCUUUAUCAAUGAACCAAAUGAUGCAAAGACUAGGCUCAAAUUUAUUUUUCAGAAGCUGAAUGGAUUCUUCUUAGCAUGGUGUGAUUCUUCCCAUUAAAAUUGAGCGAACAAUUCAACAAUUAUCAUGCUUAUAUAUUCAUUGCAGUUUACAAAACUACCAUUUUUAUAGACGGUAUAGGUAUCAUGUGAGAAAUACCAAUAUGAAACGAGUAGUGAUGGUACCUCUGUCCCACAAAGAUUUUCAUGUUCAGCAAUGAAUAGGCCAAAACAACACCUCCUAUUAUCACCCAUUUUGAGAUCCAUAAAUAAUGGAAAUUUAGAAAUAAUAGAUCGAAAUGAAUCAGCAUGAUAAAAGUCAAUGUACAUAUCUAGUAGGAUCAUACCAUUUAGCAACCAUGAAAAGAAGUUAGAUAUGAUGGCAUCAUAGCAAGCUUUUGCAGCUUUAGAAGUUCAAAUAAAUAUGUAAGAGACACGAUAUUGAAGGGAGCUGAGGAGAUGCUCUCUCCCAGUGGCCACCAUCCCAAAAAAAGUACAAGAAUUUAAAAUCUGACCACAGCAACAACAACAUAAACAUUUGGACAAUUAUAGAUCAUUCCUUAUAAUAUCUUGACCACAAGUUGAAAGAAAUGGCAUUCUAAUAAUCACCAGUUAUUUGAAAAAAGUAUCUGUUUAGUCAACAUAUGCUUUAAGUAAUUCAGAUCAAAUGGCAGAUCCUGGAACAAAUGGCAAUCUGAUGACUGUCAAUAUUUUUCUGUCUUUUCCUAGGUUUAAUGUGAUUUUCUGUUGCCUUACAUAUGGUAAAAGUUACUAUUCUCCUUCUCAUGAAAAACAUGCCCUUGUUUUCUUUUGCUUUAUUUCCCUGCAUUGAGAUAAAUUUAAAUGGAUGAAUCUAGCAAAUGACUAGAACACAAGGAUACAUGUGACACAAGUCUAAAAGAUUACUUAGCACAAUGCUAGAAAAGGUACCGCUUUCAUAAAUAAUACAGAAUGCAUAUAUCAAAUGCCAGGAUAUAAUCACCAGUGGCAGCACCUUCAAGCCUCAUGUAGACUUUCAAGUUCAAUAAUGAGCAGCAAAAACUAACUCACACCAUUACCGCAUAUCCAUGCCCAUAAACAAUGGAAAAAAGAAAAAAAAAAAACAAAGUGCAUCAGCAUGAUAAGAAGGUGACUCAAUAUCUAAAUAAGAUCAUACUUCAAAGCAAAAGAUUUUGAUACAGCAUCAAAAACAGGAAUAUAGCAACCCAUCCAGAAUGAGAAGUUAAGUAGAAAGGCUGCAUUAAACUGACAUCAACGAUUAGAGGUCUGGAGUAGAUCGUUCUCUCAUGGUCACUAUUAUGAUGAAAUCAACAUCAUUAAUCCAGGACAACAACAAGAAUUAAAAAUUUCCACCACUGCAGCAAUGGUGGAGAAGUAUAGAAUCUAUUGUUCUAUGCUCAGUAGUCUGUACCACCAAAUCACAAGGAAUUGUACUCUAAUGGCUUACUCAUUUAUUUGAGAAAUAUAUGAUUGAUCAACACAUACUUCUAUUGAUAUAGGCAUUGCUAGCCCCCAGAACAGGGGGCUCUUUGAUGCUGGUGUUUAUCUUCUAAGUUUUUGCUGUUUUCAUGUGAUCCAAAACUCUAUUUCCAGAUACAAACAAAAGGAUUUUUCUUUUUUCUUUUUUUUCUUUUUUUUUUUGACCAGGGGGUGGUGCAUUUGCUGAAGGUUGGGGGGAUUGGAUGUUGCUGCCCAAGUGGAGCUAUAUCUUCCAGACAAUCCAAAUUGUCAACCUAAAAGUUUCCAUCAAGAAACUAAUACAAGAAGCGUUCAUAAGGAAAAAAAAAAAAAGCAACAUGAACUCAACAACAAAUUAUGAUUAAAUCAUUGCCAAGACCGUGGUACUUGAUGAAUGGAAAGACACCAGACUGAUUUUGAUCCAAGGUGGAGGCUCUAGCUGGUGAUGAACUGGACUACACCACAAGAAGGAAAACAUUUGUUAGUUAAAAUUAUAAAAUAUAAUAACCUAUUGGCUCAAACAUAUCCCCUAACAAGAUCUUUUUCAUAGUUAUGAGAGAUAAGCUACAUUUCCAUCACAUUGCAAAAUGCAAGGUCAUAUGCAUUUCGAUAUCCUUAUGGAAUUAUCUCUGCUAAUAACAGUCUAACAAAACCAGGAUCAAUUACUCUAUUAUGGUGAAUGAAUUAGAAUAAAUAUUACAGAAGCAUGUUGAUCUAGAACACGUGGCUUUGGAUUAGUCAGAGCAGACAAAGUUGCCAAUCAGUUUGGGUGUGCAGGCCAAAAUGUGCAAGCUUCUUAAAAGUGAGCAUAACUUUCAAACCAUAAGUUGGAUUUCAGUGACCCAGGAUUCAUUGGAAAGCUUCAUUGGUCAAAAGUCAUGGAUCAGUCAAAGGCUAAUUCUAUCAUUUUCCUGUUGAUUUUUGGUUGGUCAAAGUUGUCCUUGCAACCUUAGGAAAGUUUUGGUGUUGGUAUACUUAGAAAGUCCAACUUCAGUCGAGAUCAAACUAGGAGAUAUAAUUUUGGAUAUAGAUAUGAUUUCUACAGAGUUUUCCGAUUUCGAGUUGUUUUACUACUUUUGGCAAAUUAGGACUCCAUAGAAAGUGAUGAUUAUGUAUUGAGACAUUGAUCAUAAUAAUAGUGAAAUUUGUUCUCUUUGCAAUUUUUUGUUCCCUAUUCUUUUAAACAGAUGGUGUUCUUCUUCUUCAUUCUUGAAAAUAAUGGUGCUUGUCUCUUUCCUUUACAUGUUUCUGCUAUGAAAGGUAGCAUGUGAAGGAUGAACUGGGGACCAAAAUCUAGACGAUGACGGAAAAAAUGACAGCUUGAAAAAAGGUGCGGGAUUGAUAAAAUAUGUUAAUAAUUUCCAUAUGAUUUGUUUAAAAGGAAAACAUGAAACUAAGAUGGAAAAAAACUUGGAGAAAGCAGCUAAUAAACGAGUCAAUCCCAUGCCUCACAAGUCAUAGAUGGGGAAUUCAUAAAAUUCAGUAGAGUAUUUUUAAAUGCAUCCUCUUAGCCUAUAGUUCAAUUUCCAAGGAUGAAACCUCGUUGCAACACCCUCCCACUCAAAACCCAGCAUGCAUCCUCUUUUUUACAGACAGUCACUAGGAUGAAGUUAACAUUCUGGUGCAUGAAAACAAAUGCAGCUUCGAUUUUUGCAAAUAUUUACAAUGGUGGCUGUUAAAAAUUGGACCAUAGUGCAAUACGGCACGGAAAGGUGUUUGACAAUUAAAGAAGAUAUUCUUGGCAAAGAGUGGUUGUUUGAAUUUUAGUAUCAGACAAUCAAUUUUCUUGGCUUGUCAUUGUUAUACAUGUCAAAAAUGAUCCAAGGAUUAGAGUCAGAUUUUUGCUAGAGUGUCAAUGAAACAUCUAUUUCUUGGCAAAGGGUGGUUGUUUCACAGUUACUAUGUUUAUGUAUCUCUGUUUUGAUUUUUUUGUUACAGAUAUUCCGUAAAUAUAACUCAGCUUUCCUUUCCAUCAUUUUCUCUGUUUUGCCUGAAUGAUAUACAUUUGAAUUGAUGACCCUAGAAGCAGACGACAGCAAUACAUAAAACAAAUUGUGGAACAUAUGCAAAAAGCUAUUUAAUGCAGUGCUGAGAAUCUCUAGCAAUACAGCAGCCCUGUGACCAUGCAGAUUUUCACCUCAGCGAUGAAAUGGGCAAAACAAGCCCACCAUUACUGCACAUCCAUGUCCAUGAUUAGCAGAAACAACAAGCUUGAAGUGCAUCAGCUUGAUAACAAGCAAGAUAGAUACCCAAGCAUAUUCAUAUUUCUUAGCAAAAUUAGAGAUCAUGUUAGGCGCGGAGAUGCCAUGAUACUAUAGCAAACUCCAGGAGAAAUCAGAAGUUAACAAUAAAUAAAUGGAGGGAUCUAUUGAAUGGAUUAAAGAUCCAUAGGAAUUAUUGGCUGACAAGUCAUUUGUAUGCCAACGCAUCAGUUCGACCUAGAUAACAUCAAUGGUCUAAUGUAACUUGAUGAUAAUAAGGAAGGCACCAUUAGUUCCAUACUGGUUGUAAAUCAAGAGGGACUCUGACUUAUGUAGGAAAAGACCAUCCUCCCAGCGUAAAGUGCCAUUUGGAUUGGAACCCAAAAGGGCAAAAUCGUGAGGUCCAUAAGCUAAAGCGGACAAUACUUCACGUGCCGGACCAUGAGCCCUUAGUCAUAACAUUGGUGGCCCAUGCAAAUUCUAAUAUGUGAUUAUGAUACACCUCCCAUCCGUACACAGACUCUCCCUUAACUAGAAGGGCUAUGGUGAUAAUAACGAAGGAGGGAACCAUUAGUCCUGUGAGUCAAUAGAGACUCUAGUUUAUAUAAGAAGGGAUCACCCUUCUCUCGUGAGGCACCUUUUGGAUUGGAAUUUAAAGGGGCAAAAUCGUGAGGCCUAUGGUCCAGAGCAAACAAUACUUCAUGUGCCGGGCCAUGAGCCCUCGGCUGCAGCAUAACUAUAUGUUAUAAGCUCUCUACUAUCAACUUGCAAGAAAUGACACUUCAAUUAGUUGUAAACAAAUUGAGAAAGCAUGGAUCUCACCACCAUAUGUUUAAAGUAAUACAUAAAUAAAUGAAAGCACUCAGGGUGCAAGCCACUCUAAAGAUGAUGUCUAUCUUUAAACUUUUCCCCUGGUUUAAAGCUACUCAGAAACCUAUCUCAGGAUACUAACAGAAGAAAGAAAGGGUUUUGGGUGGUCAAGAAACUUCAUCUUGUUGUUUAAAUAACUAGAACUGACAUGUUGCUUCUAAGGUGAAAGAUUACCCCAGGCUCACUGCCAUCUAAGUUGAAGAACCUCAUGGAAUAAUCCAUGCCUUUGGUCCCCGACACUGCAAAAAUCACGCUAUCAGCAUCAGUGCCGAAAUUUCAAUUGCACAGGUUCAGUUCCUGAUCGGGGAUAAUUGACUACCUUUAUCAACUGAAAACGCUGUCACGGAAUCAAUCAAAACUAAUACUAGAAGAAUCCCUGAAUACAGAAAUCAAGAAACCAAGAUAAGAAGAAUCCAUGGUCAAGGAAAGAAGAAUGCAACGUGGAAUCGAUCACAUACCUGGACAAAAUCGCAGUUAAGACCGUCGUAUUUGACGAAAUUUUAAUCUCACCAAAAAGUGCAAGGAAAGAAGAAUCCAUGGUCAUUGAGGAAUACCCUGAUGUCGACUCAAAGCGUUCCCGAAGAUUCUAUCAAGAAACAAAGAUGAGAAGAAUACAUGAUCACGGAAAUCAAAAAACCCAGAGCGAGAAGAAUCCGUCGUCAAGAAAAAAGAAUUGCAGAUCGAUGCGUGCCAUGAUUCAAUUGUCGCCGAGACGAUCGUAUCUGAAGAAGCGGGGCAAACCGGACUACUUUCGAUUUAAGGAGAAUGUUCUUGGAGUCUUUCCUGUGGGCUUAGACGCUCAUGGAGCGCGAGGAUGUUGGAGAGCUAGGGUUUGGUGGAGCGAUGGAGGACCUAGGUAAUUGGGACCUGGAGGAGGGAGAGGUGGAUGGAGAAUGAAGUACCAGGAGUGCGGCGAACAUCUGCCAUGUUCGCAUUUUUCUUUAUACUUUUCUUGGAAUGGCUGUUUAGAUGUUUGCCCAAAACCUUAUGGGAUUCACGUAUCGAAUCCAGGCGAUCAGACAAUCAGAUAAAUGAAAUUAAUUUAAAUUUAUCCUUUGGACCCGGACAUCCAAACAGAUCG
rnacentral:lncRNA from 1 species